rnacentral:lncRNA from 1 species
UUUUUAAUGCAUUUUCAUUUUUCAUAUGGUAAGUUGUAGAAUUUGAUCUAAAUCAAUAAAAAUUUAAAUAUUUUAAAAUUUUAUAUCCAAAUGGGAUAGUCAAUAUUGGGGUAUGUUUACAAUUUUUGGCCUCAGAAGGGGCAGUUCAAUUUUUUCUGUGUUAAUUUUUUUGAAGACAUUGAAAGUUUGGUUUCAAAUACCUACCAUAAACACAAUAAGAAUUUGGGACACCAAAACUUCCCAAAUAAAAUAUACCUUUGUUACUAUGUUAUAAAUAUAUUUCUCUAUAUCCCUUUUGAAUAGACAAGGUGACAUUCUAUUACAAGCAGUGGACUGGAUGGAUUAUAUGUAAAAUGAAUGGACUUUUUUUUAGUUAUAUUAGUCACUUUGGGAAAAGUAGUUGGGGUAUUUAACACCCUAUCCAGUAAUUUAAUGCUCCUAGUAGGACAGAGGGGGAUAUUAAGAGGUUGGUAGAUCAUUUGAUAUGGUUGGGUGAACUUUAAAUCUGUAGCCUAAAUAUGGCAGCUGCAUAGCUUAGUGAGUGGAUUUAUUCUUUUCUUAAUUAUAUUUAGAUAUCCAUAAGGUUAACACAUAUCUUUUUUGAAUAAUUGAUGUAUUAUGUUAUUCAUUCUAAUUGACAAUCAAAACUUAUAAAUCAU